rnacentral:sRNA from 1 species
GUCAGCUUGAAAAUCAAAUAUCAGAGAGCUUUGGACUGUCUGUCUUCCUGUUCGACAUCUGGCUCCUCUUUAAAGCUUCCCCAGGGCCCUCAGUUCUCCAGUGUUUUAAUCAUGGCUGGGACUAGCCAACUUCUGUCCUUCUGUCUGGCAGUGAAUUCUCUGUGAGCAGAGAAGAAACCAUUAAAGCUGGUCAUUUGCCUUUCCCCGCAGGUGCAGUCGACACGUGUUGGCUUGGUCUACCCGCUUGCACCCACUGCUUGAGUGUUUCUUUUUUUCUUUAUUUCUUCUGGCUGAUGGGGUAUAGGGUUGGUCAUCCAUUGUUGACUUCACAGUAGAUGUAGAAAGAAGGUCGGUUGGUUGGUUGUGGGCUCCCCCUCCCAGUGCAGGGCCUGUUGCAGAACAGGCACAAGGAAAUGUUGGUUGAACGACUGACGGUCCCAGUCUCUUGCCCUCCUUUGCAGAUCGAGCUGAAGGACUGCGCGGCUGGCUCUCCUCUAGUAUGGCCAAUGAAGAGGAUGACCCAGUUGUACAGGAGAUUGAUGUGUACUUGGCCAAGAGUCUGGCGGAAAAGCUGUAUCUGUUUCAGUACCCUGUGCGUCCAGCCUCGAUGACCUACGAUGACAUUCCACACCUCUCAGCCAAGAUCAAGCCCAAGCAGCAGAAGGUAGAGCUUGAGAUGGCCAUCGACACCCUGAAUCCCAACUAUUGCCGCAGCAAAGGGGAGCAGAUCGCGCUGAACGUGGACGGGGCCUGCGCCGACGAGACCAGCACGUAUUCCUCGUGAGUUCCAGGCCCCAAGCCUGUCCGGUUUCCCUGCGUUCACACAGGAGCCUCCGAAAGACCUUAAAGACAUUGACCCCCUUUGCCCCAUCACUGGGCCCCCCACCAGUGUCCCAGCCUUUGGAGGGCUGGGCCUGUCUCAGACCCUGCCCUCUUGAACUAGCUGGUCCCAGAGCUCCUACCCACUCCUUGUCUCUUGGUCUACAAACAAGGCCAUGGGUUUUCUCAUCCCCAGGCUGCCCUCCUGAGACCCGCGUAGGCUGCCCUGCGGCCUUGGUCCCUGGCUGUGGCAAUUCAGAAAGUGUCUAGGGGGUGGAGUGCGCUGUGGCCACAGGUCCUGGCUCGGAGCUGCCUUCCCCUGUGAUGUUGCUUCUCCCUGUGCUCCAGGAAGCUGAUGGACAAGCAGACCUUCUGCUCUUCCCAGACCACCAGUAACACAUCCCGUUAUGCCGCUGCACUCUACAGGCAAGGUACCCGGGGCUGGGCAUCCCAUGGUGGGGACAUGGCACUGGGGGGGCUGGGCAGGGAGAGAACCUCCCCAGCCUGGUGUCCAUCUCCCAUCUGCUCUGAAAGCUAGACACCUGUCGGGGACGGGCAGAUGUGGAAAUAACAGAAAUGACACAUUGUCAGGGGACUGAAAGUGGCCACCUUUGUGGACUGCUGGCUGGACACUGCCUGACCAGAUGGGAUGGGUCUUCAGGUUCAUUUGUCCUCCCGGGACACAGAUACAUACAAGUAGCUAACAUAAGUCUGGGGACAGAAUUUUGUCUUUAAAUAUGAAGCUUAUGACAGAGCAAUUCCAUUCCUAGGCAGCAUCUAUCCAAAAGAAAUGAAAACGUGUCCACACAAAACCAUACACAGUUGUUCAUAGUAGCAUCUUCAUGAUAGCCAAAAAGUGGAAACAACCCAGAUGCCCAUCCGCUGGAUUCAUGGAGAAACAGAAUGUGGUCCAUUCACGCAAUGGGAUGUUAUUUGACCACGGAAAAGAAUGAAGCACUGAUGCUACCACGCAGAUGAGCCUUGAGAACAUUGUGCUAAGUGAAAGAAGCCAUAUGCUUCUUCACUCACAGCUACGCGCUGUGUGAUUACGUCUCAGUCAGCGACCGACCACAUACUCAAUGGUGGUCCCGUAAGAUUAUAAUGGAGCUGAAGAAUUGGCUUACCUAGUGAUGUCUUAAUGAGCCUGACCCUGUGUAGGCCUAGGUGAACUUGUAUGUUUGUGUCUUAGUUUUUUGUUUGUUUGUUUUGUUUUGAGUGUUUUGUUUUGAGACAGAGUCUCGCUC